AUUGAACGCUGGCGGCAGGCCUAACACAUGCAAGUCGAACGGUAGCACAAAGAGCUUGCUCUCGGGUGACGAGUGGCGGACGGGUGAGUAAUGUCUGGGAAACUGCCCGAUGGAGGGGGAUAACUACUGGAAACGGUAGCUAAUACCGCAUAACGUCGCAAGACCAAAGUGGGGGACCUUCGGGCCUCACACCAUCGGAUGUGCCCAGAUGGGAUUAGCUAGUAGGUGGGGUAAUGGCUCACCUAGGCGACGAUCCCUAGCUGGUCUGAGAGGAUGACCAGCCACACUGGAACCGAGACACGGGCCAGACUCCUACGGGAGGCAGCAGUGGGGAAUAUUGCACAAUGGGCGCAAGCCUGAUGCAGCCAUGCCGCGUGUAUGAAGAAGGCCUUCGGGUUGUAAAGUACUUUCAGCGGGGAGGAAGGCGGUGGAGUUAAUAACUUCACCGAUUGACGUUACCCGCAGAAGAAGCACCGGCUAACUCCGUGCCAGCCGCCGCAGUAA
rnacentral:rRNA from 1 species